CGAGGGUCUUCGGACCCUAGCGGCGGACGGGUGAGUAACACGUAGGCAACCUGCCUGUAAGACUGGGAUAACAUAGGGAAACUUAUGCUAAUACCGGAUAGAGUUUUGCUUCGCAUGAAGCGAAACGGAAAGAUGGCGCAAGCUAUCACUUGCAGAUGGGCCUGCGGCGCAUUAGCUAGUUGGUGAGGUAAAGGCUCACCAAGGCGACGAUGCGUAGCCGACCUGAGAGGGUGACCGGCCACACUGGGACUGAGACACGGCCCAGACUCCUACGGGAGGCAGCAGUAGGGAAUUUUCCACAAUGGACGAAAGUCUGAUGGAGCAACGCCGCGUGAACGAUGAAGGCUUUCGGGUCGUAAAGUUCUGUUGUUAGGGAAGAAACAGUGCCAUUUAAAUAAGGUGGCACCUUGACGGUACCUAACGAGAAAGCCACGGCUAACUACGUGCCAGCAGCCGCGGUAAUACGUAGGUGGCAAGCGUUGUCCGGAAUUAUUGGGCGUAAAGCGCGCGCAGGUGGCUAUGUAAGUCUGAUGUUAAAGCCCGGGGCUCAACCUCGGUUCGCAUUGGAAACUGCGUAGCUUGAGUGCAGGAGAGGAAAGUGGUAUUCCACGUGUAGCGGUGAAAUGCGUAGAGAUGUGGAGGAACACCAGUGGCGAAGGCGACUUUCUGGCCUGUAACUGACACUGA
rnacentral:rRNA from 1 species